rnacentral:lncRNA from 1 species
AAGUGAUUUUAAUAGUUUUAAUUUUAAAUGUUAUUCCCCCUUACCAAUUUCAUAUUUUUAUCCUUAGAUCUUGAGGCAGCCCUGGAGGUGUGCCAGUUGGAUCCCCCUUCAAGAAUGUAAUUGCUGUGUAGAUACAAGGAGUGCAGAGAGCUGCCAACCUCCAGCUGUAACACCUGCUGGAUCAGUCUGAGUUUCAAGCUGAGGCCAUUCUCUUCCUGAAUAGCUUCCCUCCGAGAGUGUACAAUGGUGGAGGAAUUAGGACCAAGUCGUUUCUACCCAAUGUGAGAAUCAUCUAACAAUGAUGAAUAGGAUGGCCAUCAAAAUUGCUGGUUGAAUGUCACAUAGAAGCCUAGGGAAAGUAAUGUCCCCUGCUGGGGAGGAACACCUGCCUCAUGGCCCUUGGCUAGUAAUCUGUCUUUCAUCAAAAGCAGUAAAGGUAAACAAACUUCUUAUGUAGAGUUUAGAAAAUGCAGAUCUCAAAAUGUAAGU